AUCCAGUUGGCGAUUCCCAAAUAGGACGAAAUGCGCAUCCUGGAU
rfam:Trichobilharzia regenti genome assembly, scaffold: TRE_scaffold0000165